GACCUUGAUCUGCGCCCUGAUCGGGGGCGCUCACCCUAGCAAUGGGUGGUGGGCCCCUGUCGCGCUGCGCUAUAUAAACAGGGUGGGGGACCCGGCUCGGCUCACGAGGUUCGCCGUAGCCAGCCGCCCCACCGACACACCUACCGAUCUAGGUUUGCGCAGUAGCGGCGGGAAGCACCACCGCCACCUCGCCGGCGACCGGGCUCGGCACUGCGCGUCGCUGCCUUGCGCAGACUCCACCGACAGAACCCGCGAUGGCCAGCAGCUCUGCUGCUCCCACCUCUAGGGGUGAAGGUAACCCCAUUUCUCUCUCACUCACACUCGGCACUCACCUGGAACACCAUGACC
rnacentral:lncRNA from 1 species